UCCCUCUCAGGGUCACACCUGGAGGGUUUCGAGUACUCUACCAGUCUUGAUUAUGGGAGGGAGAGUCAAGCAGAAGCAUAUCCAUUCCAUUCCUAGCAUGAGCAGUGACUAGAAAAUGGAAGGCGAUCUGCUCCAAGU